rnacentral:rRNA from 1 species
UACGUAGGGGGCUAGCGUUGUCCGGAUUUAUUGGGCGUAAAGAGCGUGUAGGCGGCCAUGUAGGUCCGGUGUGAAAACUCGAGGCUUAACCUCGAGAUGUCAUCGGAAACCAUUUGGCUAGAGUCCGGAAGAGGAGAGUGGAAUUCCUGGUGUAGCGGUGAAAUGCGCAGAUAUCAGGAAGAACACCGGUGGCGAAGGCGGGUCUCUGGGCCGUAACUGACGAUCAGGCUCGAAAGCGUGGGGAGCAAACAGG